rnacentral:rRNA from 1 species
UACGUAGGGUGCAAGCGUUGUCCGGAAUUAUUGGGCGUAAAGAGCUCGUAGGCGGUUUGUCGCGUCUGCUGUGAAAAUCCAGGGCUUAACCCUGGACCUGCAGUGGGUACGGGCAGACUAGAGUGCGGUAGGGGAGAUCGGAAUUCCUGGUGUAGCGGUGAAAUGCGCAGAUAUCAGGAGGAACACCGGUGGCGAAGGCGGAUCUCUGGGCCGUAACUGACGCUGAGGAGCGAAAGCAUGGGGAGGCGAA